UGACUAAAUUCAAAGAAAGGGGUAAAUCUCCCCAAAAUUCUGAAGUACUAUAAUCCUAGCUCGACCUAGGUGAAGCAGAGCGCAGUAAUAAAGGAUUCAGAAUAUUUGGGAGAUUGGCCCCCUUUCUUUGAAUUUGGUCAU